rnacentral:misc_RNA from 1 species
UCCGGUUUGUCACCGGCAGUCUCCCUAGAGUUCCCGGCAUGACCCGCUGGCAACUAGGGACAGGGGUUGCGCUCGUUGCUCCACUUAAGGCAACACUUCACGGCACGAGCUGACGACAGCCAUGCAGCACCUGUGUCUAGGUUCCCUUUCGGGCACACUCACAUCUCUGCGAGCUUCCUAGCAUGUCAAGGGUAGGUAAGGUUUUUCGCGUUGCAUCGAAUUAAACCACAUCAUCCACCGCUUGUGCGGGCCCCCGUCAAUUCCUUUGAGUUUUAAUCUUGCGACCGUACUCCCCAGGCGGAUGACUUCACGCGUUAGCUGCGUUACUAAAGGAUUUAACUCCUCCAACAACUAGUCAUCAUCGUUUAGGGCGUGGACUAC